rnacentral:rRNA from 1 species
UAGUCGAUGGAUAACCAGUUGAUAUUCUGGUACCCGUGUAUGUGCGCCCAGUGGUGAAUCAGUGGUACUAACCAUCCAUGGAUCUGCUGGUCAUGCUUUGUGUGUGGUUGGUGGUGAUGUGCGUGGGAUCUUCGUUGGUAGUAGCCAAGUGAUGGGGUGACGCAGUGAGGUAGCUGAGCCAUUUUAUUGGAUUGUGGUGUAAGCGUGUGGCCCGUGGCAUAGGUAAAUCCGUGUUACAUAGUGGGUGAGGCGUGAUGCGUAGACCUUUGUGGUUGAUGUUG